GCCCUAGCCACACCUCCCCUGGCUAUGAUUGACAGAGCCUGCAUGGAAAAAAAAAACUGGUUUCACUUUCAAACAGAUGUAAUUUACCUUAAAUAAUUGUAUCUCAAUCUCUAAAUUGAACUUUAAUCACAUACAGGAGUCUCUUGCAGGGUCUAGCAAGCUAAUAACGUAGCAGGGGAUAAGAAAAUCUUAAUUAAACAGAACUUGCAAUAAAGAAAGCCUAAAUAGGGCUCUCUUUGCAGGAAGUGUUUAUGGAAGGCUGGGCAAGUCACAUGCAGGGAGGUGUGACUAGGGUUCAUAAACAAAGGGAUUUAACUCCUAAAUGGCAGAGGAUUGAGCAGUGAGGCUGCAGGGGCAUGUUC
rnacentral:lncRNA from 1 species